rnacentral:sRNA from 1 species
AAUUAAGCUUUUACCUUUUCAGAGAAGAGUAUUCUCUAAUUCCUUGCUUUCGGUAGAUCUUGAAAGAUUUCAACGGUUAUAAAAAGAUGUAGGAUUCGGUAUUCGAAGAGAAUCAACGAAUUCCUUACGUUCUCUCGUUUCUGUUAUUCUGAGGAAUCAACAGAUCCAAAAAAUUCUAGUUUUCUGGUAUUCCGAGGAAUCAACGGAUGUCUAGUUCUAUCCAUUAAAACUUCCGCUACUUCAGUUGGUAUCAAAGCUAGAACUAGAGAUUCGUUGAUACACUUAACAAACAAACAAAAAA